rnacentral:rRNA from 1 species
GACGAACGCUGGCGGCGUGCUUAACACAUGCAAGUCGAACGGUAAGGCCCUUCGGGGUACACGAGUGGCGAACGGGUGAGUAACACGUGGGUGAUCUGCCCUGCACUUCGGGAUAAGCCUGGGAAACUGGGUCUAAUACCGGAUAGGACCACUGCCUGCAUGGGAGGUGGUGGAAAGCUUUUGCGGUGUGGGUUGGGACCGCGGACUGUCGGCUUGUUGGUGGGGUGCUGGCCUACCAAGGCGACGACGGGUCGCCGGCCUGCGAGGGUGAACGGCCACACUGGGACUGAGAUACGGCCCAGACUCCUACGGGAGGCAGCGGUGGGGAAUAUUGCACAAUGGGCGCAAGCCUGAUGCAGCGACGCAGCGUGAGGGAUGACGGCCUUCGGGUUGUAAACCUCUUUCAGCACCGACGAAGCGCAAGUGACGGUAGGUGCAGAAGAAGGACCGGCCAACUACGUGCCAGCCGCCGCAGUAA